rnacentral:rRNA from 1 species
AACGUAGGAGGCGAGCGUUAUCCGGAUUUACUGGGCGUAAAGCGCACGCAGGCGGGUCGGCAAGUCGGAUGUGAAAGCUCCUGGCUUAACUGGGAGAGGCCAUUCGAAACUGUCGGGCUUGAGGUUGGGAGAGGGGUGUGGAAUUCCCGGUGUAGUGGUGGAAUGCGUAGAUAUCGGGAGGAACACCUGUGGCGAAAGCGGCACCCUGGCCCACACCUGACGCUGAGGUGCGAAAGCGUGGGUAGCAAACAGG